rnacentral:rRNA from 1 species
CACGCAGGCGGUUUCUUAAGUCAGAUGUGAAAGGCCACAGCUCAACUGUGGACAUGCAUUUGAAACUGAGAGACUUGAGUAUUGGAGAGGCAAGUGGAAUUCCUAGUGUAGCGGUGAAAUGCGUAGAUAUUAGGAGGAACACCGGUGGCGAAGGCGGCUUGCUGGACAAAUACUGACGCUGAGGUGCGAAAGCGUGGGGAGCAAACA